rnacentral:rRNA from 1 species
GAUGAACGCUGGCGGCGUGCCUAACACAUGCAAGUCGAGCGGCAGCGCGAGUAGUUUACUACUUGGCGGCGAGCGGCGGACGGCUGAGUAACGCGUGGGAACGUGCCCCAAAGUGAGGGAUAACUUCGAGAAAUCGGAGCUAAUACCGCAUAGUAUCUUCGGAUUAAAGAAUUUAUUCGCUUUGGGAGCGGCCCGCGUCGGAUUAGGUAGUUGGUGAGGUAAAGGCUCACCAAGCCGACGAUCCGUAGCUGGUCUGAGAGGAUGACCAGCCAGACUGGAACUGGGACACGGUCCAGACUCCUACGGGAGGCAGCAGUGAGGAAUCUUCCACAAUGGGCGAAAGCCUGAUGGAGCAACGCAGCGUGCAGGAUGAAGGCCUUCGGGUUGUAAACUGCUUUUAUAAGUGAAGAAUAUGACGGUAACUUAUGAAUAAGGAUCGGCUAACUACGUGCCAGCCGCCGCUGUAA